AGCCGGUGACGGUGGGCGAAUCCCAAAAAUAACGUCUCAGUUCGGAUUGUAGUCUGCAACUCGACUACAUGAAGCUGGAAUCGCUAGUAAUCGCGAAUCAGAAUGUCGCGGUGAAUACGUUCCCGGGUCUUGUACACACCGCCCGUCACACCAUGAGAGUUGGGAAUACCCGAAGCCUGUGAGCUAACUUAUAGAGGCAGCAGUCGAAGGUAGAAUCAAUGAUUGGGGUGAAGUCGUAACAAGGUAAC
rnacentral:rRNA from 1 species